AUGUUUAUAUUCCAUACUAAGUUUAUACUUACAUGAAAACCAUUUCUACUGAUCUAGGAUCAUCAAGCAAAAACCAUUUACAUUCAGACAACAAAAGGCUUUCAAGUUGGAGCAUUGUUGGAAGAUAGUCCAAUAUUGUUCAAAAUUCCUACAACAAUUUUACUCUCCCAUAGCACUAAUUCCACCGAUGGAAGCGCCUUCAUCGAGGAUGCCACCCAAAAGAACCUAGCACCGUAGGUUGCACUUGGGUUGAAAUAAUUUUGCAUCAAGCAAAUGUGAGCUUGUUCCUUAUUACGCCUCACUAGGGUUUCGUGAAGAUGGACGAUGACAAGAACAUAUUGCUUGUUGUUGGUGUACAAGGCCUCCAUACAUCAUCAUCUCUACACUUUGAUGUUCAAGUUACACUCUAUCUCCCAUUGGCUACCUUUUCAUCUCAUCAGAUGAGUUACGAGAGGAAGACAUGAAGCAAAAAAGUGAAGGUGUGUGGAGAGAAUCUAUGAAAU
rnacentral:lncRNA from 1 species